GGCUCGGUAGUGUAGUGGGCAGCACGAUGACAGAUGAAAACCUUCCCUCGAGGCUGGGGUGGGAAAUGGCGUUGUUCAAGGCGUUGGGUUCGAUUCCCACCUGGGUCU